ensembl:lncRNA
GGGGCAUCUGCAACUACAGUCCUUGUAUAAGUCAGCCAGCUGAUAAUUGUAUCCUAGUGACAAGAAUGAGCCAGAAUCUGGGUCAGCCAAUGAAAUAUCAAGGAGGCAGAAGGGAGCCAGGUAUACAUGAGUCUCCAUGUACAGGAGAUGCAUGUACAUGGUGAGCAGUGUGUCAAGAACCUUAUUCCAGUUCAUGGAAGUGAGCCGAUAUCCAUUCACUCAGACUAGACUCAGCAGUCAUGUUGAAAUAAGUGAGCCAAUGCAAGAAAGCCCGUUGAUUUGGAGGGUGCUUGACAGGUACCAGAAGCCAAGGAAAUAUGGAAGGACAGCCCAACCUAAUGAUACCUACAAAGAGAAAGCACAGCACCGUUCUGACGAGAUAUCUUGGUGCCCGUGUCUCUGAUCUGAGAGCCUCUCUGCUGUAGACACCUAUAUUAGGACUGUGUGGUCACAGGCUGUGUGCGUCUUAAACUUCACUGGACUUGGCCAUUUAUUCCCCAUGGACGUUGUACAUGUUUGACUUUCUGUCAUCACGCUUGGAAGAGUCCAUUCUUUCUUCACCAAUUUAACCCAUUUUUGCCAUAUAUCAAGUUUUAAUACAUGUGAAAUAAAGUGUCAAUGUAC